UGGGGAAUAUUGGACAAUGGGCGAAAGCCUGAUCCAGCAAUGCCGCGUGUGUGAAGAAGGCCUGCGGGUUGUAAAGCACUUUCAGUGGGGAAGAAAAGCGCAACGCUAACAGCGGUGCGUCUUGACGUUACUCACAGAAGAAGCACCGGCUAACUCCGUGCCAGCAGCCGCGGUAAUACGGAGGGUGCGAGCGUUAAUCGGAAUUACUGGGCGUAAAGCGCGCGUAGGCGGUCAGGCAAGUCGGGUGUGAAAGCCCUGGGCUCAACCUGGGAAUUGCAUUCGAAACUAUCUGACUAGAGUAUGGGAGAGGGAAGCGGAAUUUCCGGUGUAGCGGUGAAAUGCGUAGAUAUCGGAAGGAACACCAGUGGCGAAGGCGGCUUCCUGGACUAAUACUGACGCUGAGGUGCGAAAGCGUGGGGAGCAAACAG
rnacentral:rRNA from 1 species